rnacentral:rRNA from 1 species
CCUACGGGAGGCAGCAGUGAGGAAUAUUGGUCAAUGGGAGGAAUCCUGAACCAGCCAUGCCGCGUGCAGGACGACGGCUCUAUGAGUUGUAAACUUCUUUUGUACAGGGGUAAAACGCGCUACGUGUAGGGUUCUGCAAGUACGGUACGAAUAAGGAUCGGCUAACGCCGUGCCAGCAGCCGCGGUAAUACGGAGGAUCCGAGCGUUAUCCGGAUUUAUUGUGUUUAAAGGGUGCGUAGGUUGUCUUUUAAGUCAGCGGUGAAAUGUCGAUGCUCAACACCGGUGGUGCCGUUAAUACUGGCAGACUAGAGUUCGAGUGAAGUACGCGGAAUGUGUGGUGUAGCGGUGAAAUGCAUAGAUAUUGCACAGAACACCGAUUUCGAAGGCAGCUUACCGGCGCGAGUCUGACGCUGAUGAACGAAAGCGUGGGGAUCGAACAGGAUUAGAUACCCGUGUAGGC